rnacentral:rRNA from 1 species
AGCGUAGGCGGGAUUGCAAGUCAGAUGUGAAAUGCAGGGGCUCAACCCCUGAGCUGCAUUUGAAACUGUAGUUCUUGAGUGAAGUAGAGGUAAGCGGAAUUCCUGGUGUAGCGGUGAAAUGCGUAGAUAUCAGGAGGAACAUCGGUGGCGAAGGCGGCUUACUGGGCUUUUACUGACGCUCAUAUGCGAAAGCGUGGGGAUCAAACAGGAUUAGAUACCCGAGUA